rnacentral:rRNA from 1 species
UACAGAGGGUGCGAGCGUUAAUCGGAAUUACUGGGCGUAAAGCGCACGUAGGUGGCGACGUAAGUCGGGUGUGAAAUCCCCGGGCUCAACCUGGGAACUGCAUUUGUGACUGCAUAGCUGGAGUGCGGCAGAGGGGGAUGGAAUUCCGCGUGUAGCAGUGAAAUGCGCAGAUAUCAGGAGGAACACCAGUGGCGAAGGCGGUGCUCUGGGCCGGAACUGACGCUGAGGAGCGAAAGCGUGGGGAGCAAACAGG